rnacentral:lncRNA from 1 species
AAAAUGCCCUGGGCCAAAACUCUCUGUGGGAAACAAGCUUCUAGAAUCACUAGGUAUUAUGGAUUUACAUCUCUGUCUUAUAAUAGUUUUAGAUGGACUUUUGUCAGGAAAAGGAGGUUCUGACCAUUAUGGAAUAUUCUUCUACAACUGAGAAAGUGAAGCUGCUGAAUGCAGUCUUUCCCUUAUUGGCACAACAUCAAUCUAAAGUCGAUUGGAGAAACCUGAGCAUGUUUAUAUCCUGAAGGAAAUGAGCCAGCAGAGAGGACUGUUUAAAGAUUCCCACAAUAAACAGGGAAACCACACAGAUCUACA